rnacentral:rRNA from 1 species
GACGAACGCUGGCGGCGUGCUUAACACAUGCAAGUCGAACGGAAAGGCCCUGCUUUUGUGGGGUGCUCGAGUGGCGAACGGGUGAGUAACACGUGAGUAACCUGCCCUUGACUUUGGGAUAACUUCAGGAAACUGGGGCUAAUACCGGAUAGGAGCUCCUGCUGCAUGGUGGGGGUUGGAAAGUUUCGGCGGUUGGGGAUGGACUCGCGGCUUAUCAGCUUGUUGGUGGGGUAGUGGCUUACCAAGGCUUUGACGGGUAGCCGGCCUGGGAGGGUGACCGGGCACAUUGGGACUGAGAUACGGCCCAGACGCGUACGGUAGGCAACAGUGGGGAAUAUUGCACAAUGAGCGGAAGCCUGAUGCAGCAGCGCCGCGUGCGGAAUGACGGCCUUCGGGGUAUAAACCGCUUUCGCCUGUUACGAAGCGGGAGUGACGGUAAUGAGUAAAGAAGCACCGGCUAACUACGUG